rnacentral:rRNA from 1 species
AAUCUGGGGUCCCCCGACCUCCGAGUUGUAAUUUGGAGAGGCAUCUUCGGGGAGGAGCGCCGGCCCAUGUUCCUUGGAACAGGACGUCGCAGAGGGUGAGAAUCCCGUGCCAGGCCGGCUGCCUCCUCCAUUGUGAAGUGCCUUCGACGAGUCGAGUUGUUUGGGAAUGCAGCUCCAAGUGGGUGGUAAAUUUCAUCUAAAGCUAAAUACCGGCGGGAGACCGAUAGCGCACAAGUAGAGUGAUCGAAAGAUGAAAAGCACUUUGAAAAUAGAGUCAAAAAGUACGUGAAAUUGUUGAAAGGGAAGCGCUUGAGACCAGACUCGGGCCCGGGCAAACAUCGCGCCCCUCGGGGCCGUGCAAUUGCCUGGGGCCGGGCCAGCAUCAGUUGGCGCGGCGGGACAAAGGCGCGGGGAAUGUGGCUCCCCUCGGGGAGUGUUACCAGCCCCGCGCUCAAUGCCGCCGACGUCGACUGAGGACAGCGCCUCGGCCUGGAUGCUGGCUUAAUGGCCUUCAGCGACCCGUCUUGAAACACGGA